rnacentral:rRNA from 1 species
UUUCCGGUUGAUCCUGCCGGAGGCCAUUGCUAUCGGAGUCCGAUUUAGCCAUGCUAGUCGUGCGAGUUCAGACUCGCGGCACCGAGCUCAGUAACACGUGGCCAAACUACCCUACAGAGACGGAUACCCUCGGGAAACUGAGGUUAACCCGUCAUACCGAUCUCAGGCUUGAAUCGCAGAGAUCACAAAACGCCCCGGCGCUGUAGGAUGUGGCUGCGGUUGAUUAGGUAGACGGUGGGGUAACGGCCCACCGUGCCCAUAAUCAGUACAGGUUGUGAGAGCAAGAACCUGGAGACGGAAUCUGAGACAAGAUUCCGGGCCCUACGGGGCGCAGCAGGCGCGAAACCUUUACACUGCACGGACGUGCGAUAAGGGAAUCCCGAGUGCGAGGGCAUAUCGUCCUCGCUUUCGCGUACCGUAGGGUGGUACACCAACAAGGGCUGGGCAAGACCGGUGCCAGCCGCCGCGGUAAUACCGGCAGCCCGAGUGAUGGCCGAUCUUAUUGGGCCUAAAGCGUCCGUAGCUGGCUGCGCAAGUCCGUCGGGAAAUCCACUCGCCCAACGAGUGGGCGUCCGACGGAAACUGCACAGCUUGGGACCGGAAGGCUCGAAGGGUACGUUCGGGGUAGGAGUGAAAUCCCAUAAUCCCGCACGGACCACCGAUGGCGAAAGCACUUCGAGAAAACGGAUCCGACAGUGAGGGACGAAAGCCAGGGUCUCCAACCGGAUUAGAUACCCGGGUAGUCCUGGCCGUAAACAAUGUUCGCUAGGUAUGACACAGACUACGCGUCUCUGUUGUGCCGUAGGGAAGCCGAGAAGCGAACCGCCUGGGAAGUACGUCUGCAAGGAUGAAACUUAAAGGAAUUGGCGGGGGAGCACUACAACCGGAGGAGCCUGCGGUUUAAUUGGAUUCAACGCCGGAA